GCCGGAGUGGCGGAAUUGGUAGACGCACCGGAUUCAAAAUCCGGCGUUGGUAACAAUGUGCGGGUUCAAGUCCCGCCUCCGGUA
rnacentral:tRNA from 1 species